rnacentral:pre_miRNA from 1 species
AAAAAAGGCAAACCUGGGUUUCCGUGUCCAACUUUGACUGUUCGUCUUAUAUGAAAUUUUUUUAUAAUUCGUAUUUUUAUUGUUGUUAGAUGAUAAAACAUGAUUAAUAUUUUAUGCGUGACUUGUCUUUUUAAUUUUUUUCAUAAUUUUUUCAAAUAAGACGGAUGGUCAAACGUUGGGCACGGAAACCAGGGUU